GGAACUUGAGCGGUAGCACAGGGUCUUUCUUCUCCGCCUUAACCUUCAGCUCUGGCUCUGCGUCUGCUACUGGCUCCAUCGCCUUCUCCUCCAAGGUGAGCCCCGGCUCUGUCUGCACUGCCUUAACCUUCAGCUCUGGCUCUGCGUCUGCUACUGGCUCCAUCGCCUUCUCCUCCAAGGUGAGCCCUGGCUCUGUCUGCACUGCCUUAACCUUCAGCUCUGGCUCUGCGUCUGCUACUGGCUCCGUCGCCUUCUUCUCCAAGGUGAGCCCCGGCUCUGUCUGCACUGCCUUAACCUUCAGCUCUGGCUCUGCGUCUGCUGCUGGCUCCAUCGCCUUCUCCUCCAAGGUGAGCCCCGACUCUGUCCGCACUGCCUUAACCUUCAGCUCUGGCUCUGCGUCUGCUGCUGGCUCCAUCGCCUUCUCCUCCAAGGUUUGCCCCGGCUCUGUCUUCACCUCCUUAACCUUCAGCUUUGGCUCUCCACCUGCUACUGGCUCCAUCGCCUUCUCCAAGUUGAGCCCGGGCUCUGUCUGCACCGCUUUAUCCUCCAAG
rnacentral:lncRNA from 1 species